rfam:Schistosoma mansoni strain Puerto Rico chromosome 6, complete genome
ACCUUGCUGACGAGUGCUAAGUAGCACGAAACCCGGGUCAAAGGU